GACGAACGCUGGCGGCGUGCUUAACACAUGCAAGUCGAGCGGUAAGGCCCUUCGGGGUACACGAGCGGCGAACGGGUGAGUAACACGUGGGUGGACCUGCCUCUAGCUCUGGGAUAAGCCUGGGAAACUGGGUCUAAUACCGGAUAUGACUCCACGGCGCAUGUUGUGGGGUGGAAAGCCUUGUGUGGCUAGAGAUGGGCCCGCGGCCUAUCAGCUUGUUGGUGGGGUGAUGGCCUACCAAGGCGACGACGGGUAGCCGGCCUGAGAGGCGACCGGCCACACUGGGACUGAGACACGGCCCAGAC
rnacentral:rRNA from 1 species